UAUGACAGUACGAUAAAUAUGGCUGACGAUCUUUGUGAUACUUGUGAGCAGUUUGGAAUUAAAAGAGGGACUAGUUUCUUUCAUCAGAUUACUCCAUGUGAAUUAUGCAUCUUAAUACUGAUAUUGAACAUGCUUGUUACAUUCAUGAGUCUCGCCGUCGCCCUUGUGAUUCUAAAUGUUAUGCCUUAUAAGACUCCAGAGGAUGACAAUCCACCCCUUCCAAAACCCAUUCCUCCAUCAGAACUGGGACCCCGUGUUAAACAUUCCAAAUCACCCAGAAAUUUCAGAGAAGUAAACUAUUGCAAUGACUCCGCUUGUCUGUUGAAUUCUGGAAAUAGAAGUUGCGGAACCAGCUGUAUUAAAAAACUUGAUUCUUGGAAGCCCAUAAAAAACUACACUGUUGUUUAAAUUACAUUUUUUUUAAUUAAUAUUAUACUAGAUUUAAUUCAUUUGUAAUCAAAGUAACAAUAAAAAUUUACAGUAUUA